rnacentral:rRNA from 2 species
GGAUGCGAUCAUACCAUCACUAAAGCACCAGAUCCCAUCAGAACUCCGAAGCUAAGCGUGCUUGGGCGAGAGUAGUACUAGGAUGGGUGACCUCCUGUGAAGUCCUCGUGUUGCAUUCC